CUAAAAGCUUUAUUAAAGCACUGCUGCGGAAACAUUUGAAGGAUGAGUUUCUAAAUUUCAUAAAGGUACGGGUGACCUGAAUGGACGGCUUUGUUUUUAUAACAUUACAUAUUUGUUAUUGAGCUGCAAUAGUUGCAACAGGGCACGUUGUGUUCUAAAAACAUCCUUUUAAAAUACCCCACACCCCAGUGUUAUACAGCGUGUGAAUCAUCUGGAAUUGAGAAAACGUCGGGACAGCUCAGCUCGGAAAUUUG